rnacentral:rRNA from 1 species
UAUGAAGGGGGCUAGCGUUGUUCGGAAUCACUGGGCGUAAAGGGCGCGUAGGCGGCUUUUCAAGUCGGGGGUGAAAGCCUGUGGCUCAACCACAGAAUUGCCUUCGAUACUGUUAGGCUUGAGACCGGAAGAGGUGAGUGGAACUGCGAGUGUAGAGGUGAAAUUCGUAGAUAUUCGCAAGAACACCAGUGGCGAAGGCGGCUCACUGGUCCGGUUCUGACGCUGAGGCGCGAAAGCGUGGGGAGCAAACAGG